rnacentral:lncRNA from 1 species
UCAGCCAGCCUUAAUACAAGGGGUUGGUUUGGCAAAUAGGUUUCGGUUUCAGCUUCCAGGCGAGGCAGAACUUGCUGAAGAAGCUGACCGCAUGUUAGAGGGACUUGGUCCGCGGUUUAAUGAUUGGUGGGGAUAUGAACCUCUACCGGUUGAUGGGGACCUUCUACCAGCUGUUGUACCUGGAUACAGGAAGCCUUUCCGACUUCUUCCGUAUGGCUUGCAACCUAAGCUAACAGAUGAUGAAAUGACCACAAUAAGGAGACUUGCCCGACCCUUGCCAACUCAUUUUGCAUUAGGUUAGUUUGGAUUAUGAUGUCGCUACUCUUACUCUCUUCAGCCAACAUUUGUGUUUACUAGCUUUUCUCCCUAUACAGGAAGAAACAGAAAGCUUCAAGGGUUGGCUACGUCCAUUGUCAAACUCUGGGAAAAAUGUGAGAUUGCCAAAGUAGCUGUUAAAAGAGGGGUUCAGAACACUAAUUGCGAGCUGAUGGCUGAAGAGUUGAAGGUGUGAAUAUUUCUUCAAUGUAUCUAUAUUCUAUUUAUUGGAACCAGAACGCAUUAUGGCUGUUGCUUAACUUAGAACAUGUUCUUUGGCAGAGGCUGACUGGAGGAACUCUGAUUGCUCGGGACAAGGAAUUUAUUGUUUUAUACAGGGGAAAGGAUUUUCUGCCUCCUGCAGUUUCCUCUGCCAUAGAAGAGCGGAGGAAGGCUGUAAUGUAUGCAGAUAAUCGGAGUAGGAAGUUGAGGAUUUCUGCCACAACGGCACAGGAUCAUGAAUCCAGGACUGAACUGGAAACCAAAGAUGAUCUGACCGGUGGUCUUCCAUCUGAAAAAAGAAAGCUAAAAUCUACUGAGGCAGCUGCCAGUAGGGCCAGCAUUAAAUUGUCCAUGGUAUGACUUUCUGUGAUGCUACAUUUACAACACUUUUGGUUCAGCUUUUUUGUCUUACAAAUGGCACAUAUGCAAUGAACAGGCUUUAGAAAAGAGGGAAAAAGCAGAGAAACUUCUAGCGGAGCUGGAGAAAGCAGAGAGUCCCCAGCAACCUGAAAUAGAUAAAGAAGGUAUAACUGAAGAGGAAAGAUAUAUGCUAAGGAAGGUUGGCUUGAAAAUGAAGCCUUUCCUACUAAUGGGUGAGUUAUACUAUCUUUUUUCUUGGACUCAGCAGCUGUUCUAUCAUUGAUUCCUAUUAUAGGACUGAAUCAUAGGCCAUAUUAAAAAUCCAUCAAACUAUGCGGCUCCUUCAGCAUGAUUGCCAAGAAAGAUUAAUAAAGUCUCUUAAAAUGUUCAGGUCGACGAGGAGUAUUUGAUGGGACAAUUGAAAACAUGCAUCUCCAUUGGAAAUAUAGGGAGCUCGUGAAGAUUAUUUGUAAUGAGAAAAGCAUUGAAUCUGCUCACCAAGUAGCACAAACUUUAGAGUCCGAAAGUGGUGGGAUUCUUGUGGCAGUGGAGAGAGUAAGUAAGGGUUACGCAAUCAUCGUGUACCGUGGAAAAAAUUAUAUCCGGCCUGCUAAUUUGAGACCUCAAACACUUCUGACUAAACGAGAAGCACUGAAGCGUUCUAUUGAGGCACAGCGUCGUGAGGUAGAAUUUGCGUUUUAUCUAUUUGUCAUUAUCAAUCUGCAUCCACUAACUUAAAAUGUUUAAGGAAAAAAGAAAGAUAGAAAGAAUCAUAUGAUGCAAGUCCAUUCAUAGAGGCCGGAUUAAUGGCCAAGUUGUCUAAUCCUAUCAAUUCUAAUUCCCCCCUCUAGAUUGAUUUUGGCUGAAACACUGCCUUUUGAUCUUAGAAUGACCUGAAAUGAAAGAUAACGGAUAUAGUUGCAUUGUCAUGUAAAAUCUAUAGGACAAGGAUCUUGGAACAAUCUUGACUGUUUUUGAUGUUGAAAGCUAUUUCAUAGUCUUUUGUAUUGUUCUUACUUUUAUCAUGUCUACUUCAACAUCUGAUUCUGUUUUCUUUUUUCCUGCUGUGAAAUGCAGUCCUUGAAACUUCAUGUUUUAAAGCUUAACAAGAACAUAGAUGAAUUGGAGGAAUUGGUGGUGAGCUUUCCUAUUAUUCUAUAAUUCAAUAUUUUUACUCUAUCCUUUUUGCUUUUUUGCACAUCAAAGAGACAAUUAUACAUUAUUUUCCUGAACCAGGUUAAAGGCAAGGACUCAAACAAUAUGCAUCCAGUUAAUGAAUCAAAGGAAUUGGUGAGCUAUCUGAUGACUAUAUACUUUGAUGUGCAUCAGAUAUUUAGCUGGAUUAUAGUUAACAGUUUUUUUGCGCCACAUAAAUCAGGUCAGGGAGGAGGUAAAUAAUGUUGAAUCAGAAGAAUGUAUGCAUGAAGAGAAUCUCAAGGUAAAGACUACAAAGUAUGAUAAUGUCUCAGACAUCUGUAUAAUAUUUGUAACUUAUAGUUUUGUUCUUCAAAAGUGAUAUCUGAUAAUCUGAUAUAGUGCAUAAAUGUUUUUCAAGGCUAGAGGCAAACAAGAAUCUCAUGUGACCAACAUGAAUUUAAAUGAUGGAAUGGUUGCUGUUGUGAAAGGCCACUUAGCCACACAACAGGGUGAGGGGUAUGGUCUCUCUUCAAGUUGUGAUGGAGAGGAGACUGAUGAAGUGGAAUCAAGGUCUUCGAAUGGAUCAGUUACGAUUGAAUCCCAGGAAAAUUUGUUCAAUAAUGUAAAAGGAGAAGUUGGAAUAUUGAACAAGGCUAGAGACAAACAAGAACUUGAUGGUAUAGAUGCGGAUGCGGAUUUAUUUGAUGGAAUGAGUCCUGUCAUAAAUGGCCAGUUAGCCACACAGCAAGGUAAGGAGAUUACUUUCUCUUUGGCCUACGAUGAGGAUGGGCCUGGUAAAGUUGAAUCAGUAUCUUCAGAUGAAUCUGUUACAAGUAAAACCCAAGUGGAUUUGUUCGAAGAUAUAAAAGAAGAAGCUGGAGUGUUUAUCAAUGCUAGAGAUAACCAAGAUUCGCAGGUGACUCAGAUGGAUUUAAAUGUUGGAACGGGUGCUGUAGUUAACAGCCAAUUAGCCACUCAACAGGAUAAGGAGAUUUUCUCUUUUAUCUGUGAUGAGAAUGAGAGUGGUAAAGUCGAUCCAGGAUCUUCGGUUACAAUUGAUUCCAAUGCAACUUUCUUCAAGGAUAGAAAUAGAGAAGUUGAAGGUUAUGUUUGCCGUGAAGAUGUUAUGGUAAUAUAAAGAUGUCGUAUGCUAGUUGAUAUUAGUUUAUCUUCUUUUCUUUGGCAACCUCUUAUGUUGUCUGGUUUUGUGGUGAUUCCAGUCAAAAGGUCCAAGCAGUUCUGCUAUUCUUGACAAUCAGCAUCGUGUUUUUGAUUAUGAGCUGGAAUCAUCAGGUAGAUCUGGUAAUACUAAAUCAAAAUCUCCAGUUCCAACAAUGGUAAGAAAGACAUUAAAUGAGAUGCCCUCGAGAGCUGUGCAUUUGUCCAACAGUGAGAGGCUUCUACUGCGAAAGCAAGCCCUGAAGAUGAAAAAACGCCCUGUGCUUGCCGUUGGUAAUUUGUUUUCCAUUUUGAGUUUUCUUAUUUCCCUCUUAUUGUUAAACUAUUCUUGCUAAAACAGUUGUUAUUUGAUAGGAAAUGUACUGCACUGAUUUCUAGUUUGUACCUGAACCUUACUUUCGCACCAUGGAUUUUCUUUUUCAUGCUUAUUUUGAAAAUGCUAACUAUCCCUGACAUUAUAUUGGUUCAUGAUUACAUGUCCUAGUAUAUAGAUUGCCAAAAUCCUAAUCUAUAUGCAACCUCAUUAUUUCUGAAGUGUGCUGUUGUUAUCACUUCUUAGGUAGGAACAAUAUUGUAACUGGUGUUGCGAAAGCAAUCAAAGCGCACUUCGAGAGGUAUCCUCUUGCCAUAGUAAAUGUCAAAGGCAGAGCAAAAGGAACUUCAGUAAGGGAAAUUGUUUUUAAGCUGGAGGUGCGCACAAAAAUUCCUCUCUUUUUCUCCCCUAGUUUAGGCUAUUCUGUGCUUCCAUUUAAACUUGUCUGAAUCUCUCUUGUUUAGGCUAUUCUGUGCUUCCAUUGUAACUUGUAUGAAUUUAUUGUUUCUCUUCCACAGCAAGCAACAGGUGCGGUUUUAGUCUCCCAGGAGCCAAGCAAAGUUAUUCUUUACAGGGGUUGGGGUGCAGGAGAUAGUCCUGGAAAUAAUGAUAAGAAGAACACAAUUGGGAAAAAGGUUGCUCCUGUGUCUCCUGAACUCUUGGCAGCAAUAAGACUCGAGUGUGGUUUACAGAACCACGAAAAGGAAGAUGCAACUGCUUAGGUUGGAUCCUAAGCUUGUACCAGAAGUUACCAACUGCAGAGACCAUGCACAUACAAUACCUAGUUAGCAAGAAUUCACAUUCAUUCACAUCAUCAACUUGAGCCUGAACAUAUCCGGAAACUCAUCUACCCCUUUUGGCAUCUCCAAUCCAGGAAUCUAUGAGAUCAUAUCUUCGGAAGAUUCAACAAGCAUCGGUAUGACUUGUAUGCUAAAUAGAUUGUACCCUAUCUGUAUAUAGAAUGCUGUCUUGACAUAUUCAGUGGCUGAUCUGCUACAUUGGAAAUCAGAGAGCUUUGUUUUGGGGUCAAAAUGAGGGUAAUUCACUAUGCACCCUUCUGUAUGUUAAUCUUGAACAUUUUUGUAAACAUACCUAGAGACUGAAAUAGAAGCACCUGUUCUCUCAUCCUAGAGUAAGGUUAGCCAAAAACUCCUGGUAAGGUCGGUCAGGUGCAUCAGACAAUGAGAUAGUUGUGUAGACCCAUCGACUACGACAUAAUAUUGGCCCAUACUCGCUGCAGGCAUGCCUUUCAUUCUUGUUGUCGAUUCUAGGACCAUGUCCCCAACCCCACUUUCUUCUUCCUUCAACAGUUGAACUCCUUUUUUGUCUUUUUACUUCCGUAUUCUUUGAAUCUUUUCUAGGUGGAGGAUUGUGUAAUUUUUGUUAUUCUAUGCCUUCUUCCUGUUGAUAGUUGAGACGAUACGAAGAGUUAAUUAGCGUAAUGAUAAUUCUCUCUAUGUUUAAAGUUGUAUCGGGCUAAAAAGGAGGUAUAAUCUUGUCUGGAAGACAUGUGAAUAUGAACUGCGACUAGUUGUUUUCUAUCAUUAGUCCUGUGUACGUCCAUCUUUUUCUACUAAUGUGUGAUGAACUACAUCCGUAAUUUAGUUGCAUACAACCGUAGCAAUGAAAGAAAAUGGUGAAAAUUACAUGGCUUCAGGCCUUGGUUUCUUUUGAUAUUGAUAAGACUCUGAAGUGUUUCAAUUAUACAGAUAAUAUGAUGACCUGAAAAAACUGAAGCAGCUGAAACCUGAAGCAGCUGGCAACCCCUGGCAUAACAAAUGGGCAUCAGCUAAACUUAAUGCAAGAUAAGUUCUCACAUAGAAGUUACGCAGUACAAUACACACAACAUUGUUAUUAGUAAAAGUGUUGGUAACAUAUUCAACCGUAAGGUGAAGGUGUUGAUUAUAACUAAAUUACGUAUUGAAAUAAAUAUAACCGUCUUCUUUUUUGUUAUAAAUAAACUACUAUAUCAUCGCUUUGCCUUCUUGUCAUUGUACUGGCUCNCCCUUUUUUUUUUUUUUUUUUUGAAUAUCAACGACCGUAUCAUCAAAGACUCACCAGGUCCAGAAACUAAUCCGCGUCGAGAAAUACUUCCUCAUUUAGUUUUACUUAUUUUCCGUCGAAGAAAAACUUUUGACAUAGGACAUUGAUUCUAAUCAAUUAAUUAAUCAUACUUGCAAGUUUAAGAUUGAUCAACCAAAACAUGCAUCUCAACUAAAUCAAACUGAAACUGCUGCUAGUGUAAUUUUCAAAGAGAAAUAUAACAGAUUAUGAGCUUAGUCGAAGCUGGCGCAUGAUAACAUGGACUUGGCGCAUGAUAACAUUGACUAUGACGCCGGAGCAAGAAGCUAGUCAAAUAUGUAACUGUACUGUGUAUGACAUUGGAGAAAAAAACACACUAAUUUUCUCAAUGGUAGAAGACGAAGUUUAACUUGCCCAAAAUCGCAAUAUUGUUUCACACGCGCUUGGAGUUCAGAUGAGACUGGUUAAGCCACACACUUUCUCUCUCUCUAUCAUAUGUCAGAUAGAGAGAGAGAAGAGAGAAAGAGAGAGGAGUCUUGGGCUUCAUAAAUGAAAAUCAUCAUCACACACACUUUUUCUCUCUCUAUCAUAUGUCAGAUAGAGAGAGAGAAGAGAGAAAGAGAGAGGAAGAGAGAGGUAGGCACAAAAAACCUAGAAAUUUAGCUGCCUUUCUUUCAACGCCAGAGGCCAAACGCAAUCAUGCUGUCUUCUCCUUACCUUCUUUAUCGCCAUCAUUGCUCCCACUCCAUCUUCUUCUGCUCCAACCCCUCCUCAACCACCCCACAAAGUCCAGACCAUCAUCAUUAUCACCAACAAAGGAGAAAGAAGAAGAAGAAGAAGAAGAAAGCUUUUCAAGGAAAACCAGAAAGAUCUACCCUAGCUGUUCUCAGCUUUCUCUUUGGUUGCCAGUGAUGAACAAGUGAAAAGUGUGUUUCUGAUCCGACUAUUUCAAAGAUUUUUUCAAGUCUUUGCUUUUGGGGAAUCAAGCAUCAUGGUCCGACUCUACUUCGAUUUGCUUGUGUAUGUUCCAUCAAAGCUGCAUCAGAUCGUUUCUCUAGUUCUUGUAUCGAUCGGUUUGUAGUUCUCUCUCUUGUUUAUGUGAUCCUUGUAGUUGGGAUCUUGUUGGAUAAGGGUUUCUGUCAUUAGGUUACUUAAGAACAAUUAAGUUACUAGCUAGCUAGCUAUUUGGUUACGAAGAAGGUCUUAUGCUCUAUCUCUCUGAUCUGUGUAUGGAUUCCUCUUGUUAAUCAUCAGAUUUGGCGUCUCUUCAACUCAACGUUAGCUUGAAGAUGAUUGAAUUUGUGUGGUUCGAAUUUCCUGGUGAAAUGAUAAUAAGAUAUAUAUUACUGUUGAAAUCCAAUAAUUCUAGAUAUGUAUAUAUGUGAAUGCGUGGUUUGGUACUCUGGUUAGUAUGAACUGUAUGAUUAGUUUCUACUUCAACUUCCUGAUGCAGAAAACUUGAUUAGCUAGUGUAUGAUUGAACCAAAGUAUCGUACUCGGUUAUGUUAAUUAAGUCAUGAGUUCCUUGAAAACUUUUCUUUCUAGCUAGAUCCACUCCAUAAUCCAUAGUAGGGUUUUCAUUUAGA